ACGUAGGGUGCGAGCGUUGUCCGGAAUUAUUGGGCGUAAAGAGCUCGUAGGCGGUGUGUCGCGUCGGCCGUGAAAACCUGCAGCUUAACUGUGGGCUUGCGGUCGAUACGGGCAUCACUGGAGUUCGGCAGGGGAGACUGGAAUUCCUGGUGUAGCGGUGAAAUGCGUAGAUAUGCGGAGGAACACCGAUGGCGAAGGCAAUCCCCUGGGCCUGCACUGACGCUCAUGCACGAAAGCGUGGGGAGCAAACAGGA
rnacentral:rRNA from 1 species